AUUGAACGCUGGCGGCAUGCUUUACACAUGCAAGUCGAACGGUAACAGGCCGCACGGUGCUGACGAGUGGCGAACGGGUGAGUAAUGCAUCGGAACGUGCCCAGUCGUGGGGGAUAACGCAGCGAAAGCUGCGCUAAUACCGCAUACGAUCUAUGGAUGACAGCGGGGGACCGUACGGCCUCCCGCGAUUGGACCGGCCUAUGUCAGAUUAGGUAGUUGGUGGGGUAAAGGCACACCAAGCCAACGAUCUGUAGCAGGUCUGAGAAGACGACCAGCAACACUGGGACAGAGACACAGCCCAGACUCCUACAGGAGGAAACAGUGGGGAAUUUUGGACAAUGGGCGCAAGCCUGAUCCAGCAAUGCCGCGUGCAGAAAGAAGGCCUUCGGGUUGUAAACUGCUUUUGUACGGAACGAAACGGUCCUGGUUAAUACCUGGGGCUAAUGACGGUACCGUAAGAAUAAGCACCGGCUAACUACGUGCCAGCAGCCGCCGUAACAC
rnacentral:rRNA from 1 species